AUGGCCUCAUGAUUGAAAAGCUGGGCGGGCAGAGCUUAUACACAUGCAAGUCGAGCGGGUAGCAGGGAAGAAAAGCUUGCUUUCUCCGCUGACGAGCGGCGGACGGGUGAGUAAUGUCUGGGGAUCUGCCUGAUGGAGGGGGAUAACUACUGGAAACGGUAGCUAAUACCGCAUAACGUCGCAAGACCAAAGUGGGGGACCUUCGGGCCUCAUGCCAUCAGAUGAACCCAGAUGGGAUUAGCUAGUAGGUGAGGUAAUGGCUCACCUAGGCGACGAUCCCUAGCUGGUCUGAGAGGAUGACCAGCCACACUGGAACUGAGACACGGUCCAGACUCCUACGGGAGGCAGCAGUGGGGAAUAUUGCACAAUGGGCGCAAGCCUGAUGCAGCCAUGCCGCGUGUAUGAAGAAGGCCUUCGGGUUGUAAAGUACUUUCAGUAGGGAGGAAGGUGUGCGUGUUAAUAGCACGUGCAAUUGACGUUACCUACAGAAGAAGCACCGGCUAACUCCGUGCCAGCAGCCGCGGUAAUACGGAGGGUGCAAGCGUUAAUCGGAAUUACUGGGCGUAAAGCGCACGCAGGCGGUUUGUUAAGUUGGAUGUGAAAUCCCCGGGCUUAACCUGGGAACUGCAUCCAAGACUGGCAAGCUAGAGUCUCGUAGAGGGAGGUAGAAUUCCAGGUGUAGCGGUGAAAUGCGUAGAGAUCUGGAGGAAUACCGGUGGCGAAGGCGGCCUCCUGGACGAAGACUGACGCUCAGGUGCGAAAGCGUGGGGAGCAA
rnacentral:rRNA from 1 species